UACGUAGGGUGCAAGCGUUAAUCGGAAUUACUGGGCGUAAAGCGUGCGCAGGCGGUUAUGUAAGACAGUUGAGAAAUCCCCGGGCUCAACCUGGGAAUUGCAUCUGUGACUGCAUAGCUAGAGUACGGUAGAGGGGGAUGGAAUUCCGCGUGUAGCAGUGAAAUGCGUAGAUAUGCGGAGGAACACCGAUGGCGAAGGCAAUCCCCUGGACCUGUACUGACGCUCAUGCACGAAAGCGUGGGGAGCAAACAGG
rnacentral:rRNA from 1 species